ACCUGGUUGGCUCAGUCGGUAGACCAUGUGACUCUCGAUCUCAGGGUUGUGGGUUCGAGUCCCACACUGAGUG